rnacentral:lncRNA from 1 species
AGUGCUGUCACAGUAUAAUAGGAUCGGACCAUCCAAAGAGGAUGCCACUCCAAGCUUGCUGAUGAACUUUUACAACUAUACAGUUUCUUUUGUAGCAUCGGAUGCCGCGAUGUACUCUGCCUUGUAUAUUGAGUCGGUCAUGGUGUGCUACUUGAAAUUUUUUAGUAAAUUGCUCCAUUGUUUAGGGUAAACAUAAAAUCUGACACACUUUUGCUAUCAUCAUAGU